rnacentral:rRNA from 1 species
GACGGGACCCCGCACAAGCAGCGGAGCGUGUGGUUAAUUCGAGGCUACACGAAGAACCUUACCAGGGUUUGACAUGCAAGUGGUAGGAAUCCGAAAGGUGACCGACCCUUCGGGGAGCUUGCACAGGUGCUGCAUGGCUGUCGUCAGCUCGUGUCGUGAGAUGUUCGGUUAAGUCCGCUAACGAGCGCAACCCUCGUCGUGUGUUAUACGUGUCACACGAUACUGCCGGUAUCAAGCCGGAGGAAGGUGGGGAUGAUGUCAAGUCAGCAUGGCCUUUAUAUCCUGGGCUACACACACGCUACAAUGGCAGAUACAAUAGGUUGCGAAACCGCGAGGUGGAGCCAAUCCUCAAAGUCUGUCUCAGUUCAGAUUGUAGGCUGCAACUCGCCUGCAUGAAGUUGGAGUUGCUAGUAAACGCAGGUCAGCUAUACUGCGUUGAAUACGUUCCCGGGGUUU